rnacentral:rRNA from 1 species
GACGAACCGUACGAACGUUAUUCGGAAUUACUGGGCUUAAAGGGUUUGUAGGCGGCCUUGUAAGUCAGGUGUGAAAUCCCUCGGCUCAACCGAGGAAUGGCGCUUGAUACUGCAAGGCUUGAGGGAGACAGGGGUAAGCGGAACUGAUGGUGGAGCGGUGAAAUGCGUAGAUAUCUGGAGGAACACCGGUGGCGAAGGCGGCAUCCUGGACCGAGAUUGACGCUGAUGCGCGAAAGCCAGGGGAGCAAACGGG